GACAGCCAGCAUAAAAUUAAAAGAGUCCAACUUCAAGCAUCAUCAAACGUGGUUUUCACCAGUUUUUAAAGAGAUGUGUGUUGUCUGUAGGUUUGAUUAUUACUCCAUUUUCAAUUCCAAUAGUCUACACUUCACUAAGCUUCUAAAUUCAAACCGCCAAGGUUAACAGUUACAGGAAACGAUCCCAGUAUCAGCAAACCCUUUCCCAUAUCCCCAUUAGAAACAAACCAACAAACAAAAAAGGCGGGGGGACAAGGGGAUAGUCACAACCUACCCCAGGCAAAAGCAUGAAAAUACAGUGACUAAAUUCCACCAGCAGCAAUUAAAAAUCGCAACUUUCUACAAAGCUUCCCCUACACCAAACGGAAUCCCUUUACUUCCACUCCCACGAAUCAAGUAAUCCGGGAUAACAGUCGGAUACUGAAAUAUGGUAUUUAAAAUAAAAGAAGGCGAAGGCAUUUCACUGAAGCCCCAGAGGCCAAGGAAAGUAACCCAAAUGGGGGUUCGUAAAGGUGGAAGAGAAACUCAGGCAGGGAAGGGACAGCAGAAGAGGCCAGGGGAGCAAAGGAAGUGGUAAUCACUUCAAGGGAGGCAGUCCUCCGUCAGGGCUGCGGAGAAACAGGGAUCCGGGUCCACGCCACCGGGCGUUUACGGAAACCCGAAGGCGGCUGAUGGGAAACAAUGGGGCGGCGAGAUCGGGAGCCAGCCGGGAGGCGCUCAGGAGAAGGCGGCUAGGCAGCCAGGGACGGGUGUGAUGGCAGAGCAGAAGGCUGCAGCGGAUGGAGGCGGCAGGGAGGAGAGAGGCUCGUUGGGGAGGCAAGCUGGUCGGGUGUGAUGGGGUGCCGCGGCGCACCGGUCAGGGAAGCGAGGGUCCCCUAGGACCCCGAGGGGAGUGGCUUGUCAGGGACCUUCAGACGGGGGAACGGGAGCCGGGAAGGCAGGUGUGAGGGAAGCCAACGGAACACGGCUCGCACGAGCUCCCAGGACCCGCCGAGCCAGACAAGCCGCAGGGAGGGCACAGGCAGCUCACGGGGGGGCGUCAAACAAGACAGGAAACACAUAGUUUCACUGGAAUUUGAAAAAGGAAGUGUUAGGAUGAUGUCAACCACAGAGGAGCUUGAACCCUAUAAGGCUGGCUGGUGUGGGGAUUAAAGGUCCACACCAUAGAAGGAAGUGAGAAGAGUGUGGAUAAAGACUUCAGAGAAUUUACAGGAGGUCAAAACCAUACAACGGAAGAGCCCUGGGGCCCCAAAUUAAUCCUUGGAGGAAUGCUGCCCAGGAGAACUGCAUGACCAGGGAAACCUGUGUUGACUUUGACUUGUUUUAUUAAAUUAUGCCUCUGAAAUUAGCUGGCCUGCCUAAUACA